GUGCUCAAUUCGGCAGCACAUAUACUAAAAUUGGAACGAUACAGAGAAGAUUAGCAUCGCCCCUGCACAAGGAUGACACACAAAUUCGUGAAGCGUUCCAUAUUUUU
rnacentral:snRNA from 1 species